UGUGUGUGUUUAAUAUUUAUGCAGGUGCAAACCAACAGGCACAAAACGUACUUGGCAGCAACUGAAGAUGAAAUAUAAAAAUAUACUUCAAACAGCCAAUAGAAAAAAGGCAGAGGGACGAAAAACAAGUGGCGGUCCACCACCACUCACAGAGGCUGAAGAGAUGGCCCUCAGUCAAAACAGUGGGCGACCUAUUGCUGAAGGCAUCUCUGGAGGAAGCUCAUCUGACCCAACCACCCCCCAGGACACAAGGACCUACAUAAGAGAGCAAUGCUGGAAAUUACAAUGAGGAAGAGGGUCCAUCCACCUCCACAGCCCAACUUACCUCACUCCCUGUGCUGUACAAGGUGCACUUAGAGAAACAAAUUGAAAAAUGUAAUUUAGAAAUUGACCACAAGGCUGCAGAUGCAAAAGAUAGAAAUACAACAGCUGGAACAUCAGUUAAAGGUGGGUGAGGUGCCUACAGGCGGAGGAUUUUACUUGUUUGAACAACAUAACAAAUAUUAACUAUUGUACUGCAUUUGUACUUGCAGGAAAUAAAGAAGACUUAAUUAAAAAAAGGCACAUUGUCUUUAUUUGACACUGGGGAGGUGAUGGGUCAAUUAGAAAUGAUGAUAGCAUAUUGUGUCUCUGACUGCUCUUCCAUCUCGUGCGUCAGCGGGGUGGUCAGGAUCGUUAUCAGGAUCGUUCACUGGUUGAGUAGGACAUUGAUCUCCUCUAAUUGUGGCAAUGUUGUGGAGAAUCACACAUGCCACAAUAAUGUCACAUGCCCUUUCUGGGGUGACCCUGAGCCUACAAAGGAACUGUAACCGAGCCUUGAGCAUCCCAAUGGUCAUCUCUACCCUGGCUCGUGUCAUGCAGUGAGCCAAGUUAUAACGUUGCUGCGGGCCAGGAUCAGGGUAAGGGGUCAGAAAAUAGGGUUGGCAGGGGUAUCCUCUGUCACUGAGCAGGUAACCAUUGAAUUCUCCAAUGAUAAUACGAGGAUACAGUUUACAUUUUCAGUUGCAAUAGGAGGAAGCUAGAUAUUGAUUAUAAUAGGAUAUAGCUAUAUAUAUAACUCUCCACGGGCGCUCAAUGUACACUCACAAAAAAAUUGUGAGUCAUGCACAGACCCAGGCCACUUUGCUUCCACGUUGCUGAUGAUGUGGGCUGCAUCACAUAUGGUCUUCACAGUGCAUAAGAGUAAUUAGCUGCAGUAGCUGUAUUGUGAAGUAUCUUUCAUUUGGAAUGCUAAAGGCUACUAUUUAGGCCUACCUGCACAUUAAUGCUGUGGAAAGACUUCCUAUUCACAUAAUCUCCUUCAUUUACUGAAGGAGCUGUGAUAGGAAUGAGUGCCAUCUAUGCAGCCAAUCACACCUGGAAACCCUAAAAUAUAUCAAAUUAACUGAUUAGUGCUUCAAGUCUCAAAGCUUCAUACUAAAUAGAUAAAUUAUUGCUUAGACUGAUACCUGCAAUUCUGUGGAAUUCUUCUUUGAUGAGUCUUGUGGGUCUGUGACUUGGGAACACCACAAAAGUGUACAGUAAACGUUUCACUGCAAGAGUCACAUUUCUGACAGCCUGACAGACGGUUGCCUUGGAAAUAUGCUCAGUGUCACCGAUGUUAUAUAGAAAACUCCCGUUGGCAAAAAAAAACUAAGUGCAACACAAAGAAUUUGUUCCGAACUGAGAGCAUGUCCACGAUGUGUCAUAUGAACGAUAUGAGGGCUGAGAAUAUUGUUCAGAUGAAUGAUCGAUUGUGCAGAAAAAUGGAAACGCCCACAGAUAAUCAUCAGGGAAUGAUAAAACAUCCAAGCGGUGUGUCGUGGAAAAUUGCAAGAUUAUGUUAUAAUGCUUGUAAGAUUUUGUUAUAAUGCUUGUAAGAUUAUGUUAUAAUGCUUGUAUUACAUUAUAAUAGUUGUUAUAUUCGACAGAAUAGAGUAUUGUGUGUGUGUUCCACUGAGGAUGGGCCUCUAUGAGAUAGCACUGACAGAGGAGAUUUACGAUGUCUUUGGGUGAUAAAACCUAAAGAGCAUUCCAGAGAACAUGAGCUAAUGGUUCUGUUCUAUGCCGUACCAGGGAGAGACGGUUCCCUUUUGGAGUAAGGGGGCCAGACACUGGUCUUUACAAUGAAAACUGUUGACACAGCAGUAAUUGUCUACUAUGUUAUAUAGAUAUCUUUCAAACAAAUCUUAACCUUUGUGAACUGUUCCUAAGAUCUGUGGUUCGUCAGUGUAAGUUGAGAUGGGUGUAUCUUGGCUAUAAAAGAUCUUUGUACUUUUCUGUUGGUACUUUUCAAUGGUUCAUUAGAGAUAGCACAUCAUUGAAAGUCAAAAAGGCUAUUGCAAAGCUCUUAUUAAAAAAAUGUAGUUUAAGUAUAACUCUGACAGGUGUGUGAA